rnacentral:lncRNA from 10 species
AGCUCCUAGCCCAAUGCCUGGCAUAUAAAAGGCACUCAAUAAGUGCCACUGCAUUUUAGGAAGGUGAGAAUUUAGAGAAGAGAACACCACUUGGAAUCCCUGCUUAGCGGUGAAUGUGAAAGUAGACAUAGUGGUUUCCCUUUUCUCAAGUGACUGGGUCUUACUUCAAGUAAAUUAGACAUUUCCUGGAGAUCAGGGGUUGUGUAUUUUCACUUCUCUAUAUAGCCAUAGUACUCUUUAAGAGUUCACUAACUACGUGUUAAAUGGGAACUCAUGAUGGUUAACAAUAGCUCAGUGGAGAUGUUCUACAGUUAUUUCAUACAUGCUACUUUGAAGUAGCUCAGCUUAUUUUGUGAAGUGAGUGUAUGUGCCAUAGGGAAAAAAAGUCUCAAAUCCAUUGCAAGAAAAUGGUAGGACUUUUGGACACUGAAGGAAAAAGAAAAUGAAAUGGAAAAUUAUAUUUAAUCCCAAAUUGUUUUUGUUCCUUUAUUUUCAAGACAGUUAGGCAGUGGGGAAGCAGUGCAUGCCAAUGAAGAAGCAGCCCAUGACUCUGAAAUAAUGCAAAUGUAAAGUGAUUACAGUAGAACAUCAUAUGACUGUUUUAAGAAAGUAGGAAACCAGGCUGGGCGCGGUGGCUCACGCCUGUAAUCCCAACACUUUGGGAGGCCGAGGCGGGCGGAUCACAAGGUCAGGAGAUCGAGACCAUCCUGACUAACACGGUGGAACCCCGUCUCUACUAAAAAUACAAAAAAUUAGCCGGGCGUAGUGGCGGGCGCCUGUAGUCCCAGCUACUUGGGAGGCUGAGGCAGGAGAAUGGCGUGAACCCAGGAGGCGGAGCUUGCAGUGAGCCAAGCCAUUGCACUCCAGCCUGGGUGACAGAGUG